rnacentral:rRNA from 1 species
ACAAUGGAGAGUUUGAUCCUGGCUCAGGAUGAACGCUAGCGGCAGGCCUAACACAUGCAAGUCGAGCGGGAUUAAUUAGCUUGCUAAUUAUGAGAGCGGCGCACGGGUGCGUAACGCGUAUGCAACCUACCUCAAACAGGGGGAUAGCCCGGAGAAAUUCGGAUUAAUACCCCAUAGUAUUAUUGAUACACAUGUAUUAAUAAUUAAAGAUUUAUCGGUUUGAGAUGGGCAUGCGUCCCAUUAGCUAGUUGGUGAGGUAACAGCUCACCAAGGCAACGAUGGGUAGGGGGCCUGAGAGGGUGGUCCCCCACACUGGUACUGAGACACGGACCAGACUCCUACGGGAGGCAGCAGUGAGGAAUAUUGGUCAAUGGACGCAAGUCUGAACCAGCCAUGCCGCGUGCAGGAUGACGGCCCUACGGGUUGUAAACUGCUUUUGUAUGGGAAUAAACACCACUACGUGUAGUGGCUUGAAGGUACCAUACGAAUAAGGAUCGGCUAACUCCGUGCCAGCAGCCGCGGUAAUACGGAGGAUCCAAGCGUUAUCCGGAUUCAUUGGGUUUAAAGGGUCCGUAGGCGGGUCUUUAAGUCAGAGGUGAAAGCCUACAGCUCAACUGUGGAAUUGCCUUUGAUACUGGAGAUCUUGAGUGUGCGUGAAGUAGGCGGAAUAAGUCAUGUAGCGGUGAAAUGCAUAGAUAUGACUUAGAACACCGAUUGCGAAGGCAGCUUACUAAAGCACUACUGACGCUGAGGGACGAAAGCGUGGGGAGCGAACAGGAUUAGAUACCCUGGUAGUCCACGCCGUAAACGAUGAUAACUCGCUGUCGGCGAUAUACGGUCGGCGGCCAAGCGAAAGCGUUAAGUUAUCCACCUGGGGAGUACGCCGGCAACGGUGAAACUCAAAGGAAUUGACGGGGGCCCGCACAAGCGGUGGAGCAUGUGGUUUAAUUCGAUGAUACGCGAGGAACCUUACCAGGGUUUAAAUGCAGAGUGACAGACUGGGAAACCGGUUUUUCUUCGGACACUUUGCAAGGUGCUGCAUGGUUGUCGUCAGCUCGUGCCGUGAGGUGUUGGGUUAAGUCCCGCAACGAGCGCAACCCCUACCAUUAGUUGCCAGCGGUUCGGCCGGGGACUCUAAUGGAACUGCCAGCGCAAGCUGAGAGGAAGGUGGGGACGACGUCAAAUCAUCACGGCCCUUACACCCUGGGCUACACACGUGCUACAAUGGUAGAGACAGAGGGCAGCGACUGCGCGAGCAGAAGCGAAUCUUCAAACUCUAUCUCAGUUCGGAUCGUAGUCUGCAACUCGACUACGUGAAGCUGGAAUCGCUAGUAAUCGCGUAUCAGCCAUGACGCGGUGAAUACGUUCCCGGGCCUUGUACACACCGCCCGUCAAGCCAUGGAAGCUGGGGGUGCCUGAAGUCGGUAACCGCAAGGAGCUGCCUAGGGUAAAACCAGUAACUAGGGCUAAGUCGUAACAAGGUAGCCGUACCGGAAGGUGUGGCUGGAACACCUCCUUUCUAGA